rnacentral:rRNA from 1 species
CCCUUAGAUGUUCUGGGCCGCACGCGCGCUACAAUGAUGAAUUCAACGAGUUUAUAACCUUGGUUGAAAAGCCUGGGUAAUCUUUUGAACUUUCGUCGUGAUGGGGCUAGACCCUUGCAAUUAUUGGCCUCCAACGAGGAAUUCCUAGUAAACGCAAGUCAUCAGCUUGCAUUGAUUACGUCCCUGCCCUUUGUACACACCGCCCGUCGCACCUACCGAUUGAAUGGUCCGGUGAAAUCUUCGGAUUGAGACUUUGAUUUCUUCACGGAAAACGCUGUUUUAAAAAGUUGAUUAAACCUUACCAUUUAGAGGAAGGUGAAGUCGUAACA